GUGGCUGUUGAAAGCAUCAUAGAGUUCAGCUCGCUGAUGUUGGCUGUAAAGCGAGUAACCACGCUACUGAUCUGCUCCAUGAGGGAGCCUUGCGAGGAGCUACUUCGCUGUGGAGGCUCGGACUGGAAGGUUUAUGUAACUACAGAUGCCAACGGAAGGUCUUACUACUUUAUUCAUUACUUCAUUCAUUACUUCAUUUAUUAUACUGAAAAGGAAAGUUACACUUCAUUUGCUCUGAAGCGUUAUAAAUGUUAAAAACUUCUUUAGGUUUGUAAAAUGGAUGGAUGGGGCUGUGUCUUGACUUGGCUUUGAUUUCAACGUGACAUUUUUCUAAUUUGUUGACUUAUAAGAAAGAGGCUUCUCUUUUCUGAUGCUAUCCUCUGUAUUCCAUAUGUCAUCUGUAGUUAUUUUCCUAAUGCUUUGCAUCUUUGCAUCUGGAUAUUUAUUAGAUUUUGAACCGUUCCUUUUCUGCUACUUCAUUAUUGAAUUGUGGACUGUAAAAUGAUUUAAUUUUUUGGCAAUGUAUAAUUGUGUCCUAAGUCCUAAACUGCCAGCAUUUUGGAUAACUACUGCAUCAUGUAAUGCUGUGACCAAAACUACAACAAAGUAAAGGCGUUGUUGGUUUUACAUGUUUUAGCAGACCCCUGGCUAUAUUAUAAUUCAUACAGGCAUUUACAUAGGAGUAGAUUAGCUCAUGUCUUGUCUAGACCUUGGAAGGAGACUAGAUGUCCUAGUCUUCUUGUCAUAGAAACAUAAAAGGGCUUGGAUUGGAAUGGACCUCAAGGAUCAUCAAGCUCCAAUCCCCCCCACCACAGGCAGGGUUGCCAACCUCCACAUUUAAUUCUAGACUUGUCAUAUUAAAUACAAUGCCAGUUCAUAUCAAAGUAUGCUCUGGAAAGAAGCAAAAGUUGGUUUGGUAGAAAAACCUCUUCUCUGACCAGAUGGUAGUCUGCAACAGGAUUUACAUCCUAUUGUGUAUAGACAGCGGAACACGUGUAUAUGCAUACAAAAUUGACAUAAGAACAUUUGAAUGGCUUGUCUGGACACUUUUAGUGUGAUGGGUAAAGGAAAUACUGAUACACUAUGUGGUGUCAUUUAUUUGUCACAGGAAUUUCAGGAGAGAGGUUGGAAAAUGAAAAUCAAGGUAAAAAGGAUAGACACUACUGUUAAAAAAUAGUAAAAUCUACAACCAAACUGCUUGUCCCAUCAUUAUUUUUCCUCUUUUUUUUUUUUUUUUUAAUGUUUUACACUAACAAGGUUGCAUUUUUUCCAUCUAGAGCAUAUUUGGGCUAGAGUAGACAGGGAACUGUUUACAGUGUAAAUUUGAUUGAACAGUUCAGCUAUAGAAUUUGAUUCAAAAUGAUGGAGACACUGUCUUACUCAUAUAAAUAAAUCAAAAAAUUAAGCUUGAAUACAUGAUCUCAGUCAAUGCAGCCAAACAGUUUAUAUCAAUCAAUCAGUAUUUUAAUUAAAUUUGAGGGGAAAAAUUCAAAACAACAACACUAACACUGCACACAUAUUAAAAUUCAUUGUGAUCAGGGCAGUCAAGAAUAUAAAUUCAUUGUACAGAGGGAAUGUUUUUUGCAACAAUUCAUCAAAAUCUUUCAUACCUAGGAACUUUCACUGAGUUACAUUAAAUAUUCUUCAGUCAUUUCACAAUAUUUGAAGUUUAAUUAAUCACAGCAUCAAGCUUGUCUGAAAAAACACCAGGAGCAGAUUAUCCAGAGAAAAAUGAAGGACUUAAACAAUUCAGUAAUCUCACAAUCUACAUUUUGUAGCAUAUUAGGUUAAAAUAGCUCAGAAUGUUUCCCUUGGGAACUGGUUAGUUAAUAAAUGCAGACUAAUCAGUCAAAGGGACUUCCUCUGAAGAAUCAAAGACUUUUUCCUGCAUGCAUCAAAAUUCUUUUUUGGCAAGGCCAUGAAGCAAACAACUUAUAUCUUGUAUCACUUUUGUUAUAUUUUUGAAUAAGGAAAGUUCUCUUUGAGCCAGACAUUCAGCUCAUCUCAAUUGUUACCUUCUCUAAUGGCAUUACAUCAUGUAAGAGAUUUACCCCUCCACUUUUUUUUUUCUGCCAUUUUAUAGUACAAAGUCAUCCAAACACUUCUGUGCAAUUUGUUUUUCAUGGUCCCUUUGAAACAACAUCUGUAGAAGUUAAUUGUUAAUAAUGGGGGGAUUUUUUUGGUACAUGAUAAUCUCUCAGUGACUUCUUUUGUGUUAUGGUAAUCUUUGCUUCCCUCUUUGUGUAGGACUUUUACUUUCCACCUUCUACUGAUAUUUAUGAUGCUGAGAUGAGCAAUGGCUAAAUGCUGGUUACUUUUAAAGUUCAGAGAUGGUGCAUGCCAUAUUUAUAAUGCAACUUCUUAAGCAUGAGUUCUCCUAAAUCACUGUUUAACAGUCCCCUAUUUAGAUGUACCCCAUCCCCCAAGAGCUAAUAUAAUUAAUUAAGUAUUCAAGAAAUGAUGUGCCUAUUCUAUAAAACUUCAAGAUUUCAAAUAACAUCACUGCCUCUCUCCACUUAAAAUUUUGUUUGUUUGUUUGUUUGUUUUGUUUCAGUGAGAUAAAAUGAGAACUGUAAAACUCUUUUACUGUAAAGUUAGUAUAAAAAUUUGAUGGAUGUUACACUUACAAGACAAAAGAGACCCAGGCUGGUCAUUAUCUGACAUAGAUAAUCAUUGUUCUUUCCACCAGGCUGGAAAAUAACUUCCUGCCUUUUCUGAUCAGUUGUUUUAUACAAGCCAGAAUGGCUCCACUGGGCUUCAAGAGGGAAGCAAUCCAUCCUGGCCUAACUGACAGACUGCUAGUACAGCUUGCUAUGAGCAGUGGUAUACCUGUCAUGAGUUCAACAUCAUGAGGUUAUCACCUCUGCUAUACUCCAAAGUUGCAGAAUUAACCAGUGCAACCACUUGCACUACUUGCACUAAGUAUCACUGCAUCCAGCAAUUUGGCUGUGAACAUUGUUGAGCAUGAACCCAUAACCCCUAUUCUGCUGAAGCACGGUAAGUAAAAAGUUUCUCAUAUGAGUUUGGAGAAAAACUGUGGCAUUCUUUCUAUCAUUAUUCAAAAUGUAUAAAAGAAAUGGCUCAUGCUGCAUAUAAAUGAAGACAAAAUUGGCACCUGCACUGUAAGAAAUGUGUCCGCAUAGAAUAUGCAGCGGCAGGAACUCACAAUCAGUAUCUUUCUCAAUGACAGCAAACUUAAAUGCCAGCCAGCUCCAGCUUUCAGCAAACUCCCCCCAUCUUUCUUCUACACUGCUGUCUCAGGCUGGUAGGCCUCCUGGUACAACCCUGCCUUCUUUACAGCACUAUUUGCUCCAUGUCAAAUAACCACUUUGUUUCAUUACUCAGAAUGCUUAUCUUCUUGAGGCAUAAUCUUUCAUAUUUAUGCCAGAAUUCCUCAUACUGUUAUCCAUACGCAUAUUAUAAUAGCAUUUGUUUACAACUUGAUGUCUAUGACUUCAGUCUAUCCAUUUAUGGGUUGAUGGUUGGACUAAAUGAUCUUAGUAGUCUUUUCCAACCUUAAUGAUUUUACGAUUCUAUGACUUGCAGAUAUGUCCCUCAAACAGUCAGCAAUUGCCUCCUGGGCCGUGGAAACUGUAUGGACUGUAUCUUUGAAUCCCUUGGCUCCUAAGAAAACCAAUAAAGGACACGUAUAGAGCAUACAUAUAGAGCAGAAGUUUAUUCCUAGACAUUUUUGGCUGGGUCCCUUCUCAGGGUUUUCCUCAUUUUUAAAUGUAAUAGUUGGACCUUUCAGAUGUUUCUGUGACAGCUAAGAUCGCUUCUCAAGUUAGCUCAAGCCUGAAAUUUUUGUUAAUUUUUACCUCUAUUUGAGAAAUUUCAAUUCAGGCUUCAGAAAUAAAAAAUCACUUUGAGAUUUUGAUGCUGAGAUAAAAUAUGUUGAUGUGCAAUAUAGUAUUUUAACUGCAAUAUUUUUAAACCAUGAAUUGUAGUUUCUAAGUUAAUUCAAGGAUAUUUGUUUUAUUUUUGGAUCGAAAUAUAUCCUGUUUAAAUUGUAACAAAACAGAUAUAGCAGCCACAACAGGUAAAAAAAAAGUGAGAAGAGGUAAGGAGGAAAAAAACAGUCACUCCCUGCAGAAAACAAAGUGCAUAGCACGAUGGUAAACACCUGUUUCCAGAAUGCUUCAUUAUGGCACAGUUUGGGACAUUCUGAUGUAAAUACCAAUUAUAACAACUGGUGGUCUGAGGCUGAAUCCAGUCCAGUGGGAAAGUCUGCCUUGCUCAUUGCUUUUUCCGCAUGGGAGACAGGAAACUCACAGGUACAACUGUCAACUAGCAAUUAAAAAAAUCCAGCAGCUCCUUAAUUUCUUUCUUUGACCUGUCAGUCUCACUGCAAACAUAAACAAAUGGGGAUGCAUACAAACUACAGCUCUAAUUCAGGUUGCGUAUCAGCAAAAGGCUCCUUGUCAGAGGGCAGUGGGUGUGGAACAGACUCGCCAGGGCAGUGGGCAUGGCCCCAAGCUGCUGGUGUUCAAGGAUCAUCUGGACAACACUCCCAGACAUGUGGUCUGAUUUUUGAGUGGUCCUGAGUGGAGCCAGGAGUUGGGCUUGAUGACCUUUAUGGGUCCCUUCUAACUUGGAAUAUUUUAUGAUUCUAUGAUAAUCUUCAAGCAGAGAGCCGUACCUCAGGUUUAAAGUGGUGGUUUCUCUUCUUCCAGAACAGCUCUGCUGCCUGCAUUCAGGUCAUGGCUUUAUCUACAAAAGAGCAUCAGGUUUCUAUUGGCUUUCACUUGUGUUACAGGACAGAGCAGUUCAGAAUUUAAUGCUCAAGUGACAGAGAAGCCCCUGAAGGUGGGUUGGAGAUCUGCGAGAAGCAGCAGCCAAGGGCAGGGAACACUGUGUCAUUCAUACCCAGCAGUGGGAUAACUGGAGACCAGGAGCAUGGACUGCAUGCACUUUGGAGCAAGCUGAAGAGUAGGGCAAAGAACAUUGGUAAGAUUGGAAGGACUAUUACACAAGCAUGGGAGGGACAGAGUGUUUGGGCAUUUUAAUUAAUAAUAAAAGGGAAACUUGCCUUUUUGUGGGUUGAGAGAGAUGCAUGUGCUUAAAGGGACGUUAUAAGCUUGGAAAAUGAAGUGUCCCUGGCUUGAGCCAUUUAAAGACAUGUUCCAAAAGAGAUAAACACCUACAAUGGUUAAAUUAUUGUGUGUUAUUUAGGAGUAAGGUAUUGGAAAUGGAAUGAGACCUUUUAGUGUGCAGCCCUGGCUAGGAAUAGCACAAUAUCUACUCUCAUAGCAGAAAUGCACCAUCUUUAUCUUACAGAGUAGUUAGAGAAUAAGAAGAGGACAAACAAAGCUCAUAUUUAAGACUUUUCCAAAAGAGUUCUGCUUCAUAUGUGAUAACAAUCCCUGGUACCUUAAAGUAAAAUGGAGUUUUGCUCAAAUUAUUUAUGGCCUUCCUAGUCCCUAUGAAAUUACAGGUAAAACAGCUAAAAGCAGAAUGUCCAGACACCUCUCUACAGAGAUCAGUGGCUUCCAUAGGAUCAUACAAUCAUAGAACGGCUUUCGCUGAAAGGGAACUCAAAGGUCACUCAGUUCCAAUCCUAUGCCAUGGGCUAGUUGCCAUCCACCAGCUCAGGUUGACCAGGGCCCCAUCCAACCUGGCCUUGAGCACCUCCAGGGAUGGAGCAUUCAAAACCAAUUUGGACUACCUGUUCCAGUACCUCACCACUCUCUCGGUGAAAAACUUCUCCCUGCCAUCAAAUUUAAAUCUCAUCUGUAAAUUUUAAAACUCUACCCCCUUGUCCAGUCAUUACCUACCCUUUCACUACAGCUAUGUAGUGUUCAGCAUGCUCCUUUGUGGUGCCGCUUCUAUUGGUGCCCAAUUUGAAACAAUGCCUGACUUUGAAACACUGGUAGAAUAUAUUUUGUAGGCUAGGGCUGAUUCACAAUAGCCUACAUGAAAUGUUUUUAAUGAAUAACUUUACUCUGCCCUUUAAUAUAUUUUGGUGAAGAUACAUUCCAACACUCAGCCACAGCUUGUCUGAGCUUUUUUCUUUUCUUUUUUUUUUUUUUUAAUUGACGAGCACCCCAUGCAAAAAGUCAUUUAGGACUCUAACAGAUGUACUGCUUUAUUUAGGCAAAAACAGUGUUGUUAUCUGUCAUCUUGCAGCUGAUGUGAAAGCUCUGAAUGGAGACUUGGCAUUAUCUGUUUGACAAUGAUUUGAUGCAAUUCUACACUGUUAUAAAUUAGUGUCAAGAAGUAAAAUGCUAAUGAUAGGGGCUCCUUUCUGCACUGUUGAUUUAAAUAGCAUGUUUCUUUAAAACUCAACAGUGACUCAUUCUCUCUUAAAUAAAACCCCACUGUGCUAUUUAAAUAAUACCAUGUAGCUCUACUGCAUAUUUCCUUUGAUUCUGAGCAUUUCAGUGUUUACUUGAAAAAGCUAUCCAAACAAGAUUGUGAACACUGUACUGUAUAAUACUGUGAAACAUAUUAUUUUGUGCCAAUUUUUUUUAAUAUUCUGUUUUUUAAUAUUCUAUUUUCUCACGCUCUACAGUAAGCAGAAGUGAGGCUGAAAGUGGUUUUCUGUUUUUUUUUUCUUGGAGAUGAUAUCAGAUACAGCUGAAGUCCUGAGCAGCAUUUUAAAUUUAUUCAGUACAUUCCAGGACUCUGUUUCAUUUUCUUUCAUGUUCACCAGGCUGCUUGAGCGGCUCGCAGCCGAAGAUGAUUUUCCAUCCCCUACAUGCAUGCGGACCACAGUCGAAGUGGUGAAUGCGCUGCGUACGUUCCUUUCAGGCUUAGCAAGGAUGAUGUAGACCUUGGGCACAAACAUACAACCAAGGGCCACCGUGGCACUCAGACUCACUGAGAAACACAUGGUGAUUAUCUUGUAGUUGCUUCCAAAAUAUAUUGGCACAAAAGCCAGCCAAAUGAUGCAGGUGGUAUACAUUGUAAAGGCAAUAUACUUUGCUUCAUUGAAAUUAGCUGGGACAUUUCUUGUCUUAAAUGCAUAAAAGGUGCAACUCAAAAUUAAUAAUCCAUUGUAUCCAAGGGGGGUUACAACACCCAAGUUGGUGGUGUUACAAAUCAAGUAGACCUCUCGGAUGCUUGGGUAAUCAUGCAUUAUAUCAGGUGGCUCCAUUAUAAAGAGGGCCACAAUUAUGCCUAAUUGUAUACAUAUCAAGAUAAAUGCAAUAACAAGUUGGGCACAGGCACUCAUGAAUCUAGGUUUCUUUGUACAAAUUUUCUUCUUGCUGCCAGCCAGGAUUCUUGCAAUGCGGUUAGUUUUAGUUACUAGAGCAGAAUAACUCAUAGCUGGGGAGAGACCGAUGCCAAUUCGUUGAAGAUAGCAGUAAAUCUGUUGAGGUUUUGCGAUGAGACAGAAAGUGCACAAGUAACCCAAGCAGAUGCCAGCUAGAAUGAUGUAGCAAAGUUCUCGGCUGGAAGAUUUGACCACUGGAGUAUCGCGGUACAUUAUGAAUAUAGCCGUAACAAACAAGGUUGCCAGCAGACCCAGGCACGCAAAAACAACUGCUGCAAUUGGUUCAGGAUCACCCCAUCUGAGAUACUGGACUGGGAUGAGGUCACAACCUACAGGGAACAACAACAACAACAAAAAAAGUAAAUUGAAGCAUGUAGGAGUUAGAUUCUUUAAUGAUAAUGUUAUAGAUUGCCCUGAUUUUUCUCUUAUUCUCUCUUUCAUGAAGUUGCUGUUACCAUCAAUGUAAGCUAGUAUUAUGUUGAUAUAAUGGCAUACUAAAUAUUUUUCAGUGACAGCUUAUUUCAAUAACACACUUUAUCUGUUUGGAGUCUAACAGUGUAACAUUAUGACUGAAAAAAUGUCCAAACAAAUUAAGAAGUCACCUCUCAUCACAGUGGAAUUUACCUUUUUUUUUUUUUUUUUUUAAUUUAGUAAUUUAAGGACAAAUUUCAUUAUCAAGUUGCAUUGCUUUGAUGUGAAAUGUUCAGAAGUUGUUUGUAUAGCAUAUGUCCUUUGAGGCAUCAAUGAUAUAGUAACAUACACUAACAAUGAAGUAUAUUGGUACUUGUUUAAUGACUAUGCAGAUAUUCUAGCUAUCAAGAAAAAGAGUACUCUUUUCUCAUACAGAAUACUUUUUUUCCAGCAAGAUUUUUCUGGGAUUAAAGAUGCAGAUGAUAUGUA